UACGAAGGGGGCUAGCGUUGCUCGGAAUCACUGGGCGUAAGGGGUGCGUAGGCGGGUCUUUAAGUCAGGGGUGAAAUCCUGGAGCUCAACUCCAGAACUGCCUUUGAUACUGAGGAUCUUGAGUUCGGGAGAGGUGAGUGGAACUGCGAGUGUAGAGGUGAAAUUCGUAGAUAUUCGCAAGAACACCAGUGGCGAAGGCGGCUCACUGGCCCGAUACUGACGCUGAGGCACGAAAGCGUGGGAGCAAACAGG
rnacentral:rRNA from 1 species